AACGAACGCUGGCGGCAGGCUUAACACAUGCAAGUCGAGCGCCCCGCAAGGGGAGCGGCAGACGGGUGAGUAACGCGUGGGAAUCUACCCAUCCCUACGGAAUAACGCAUGGAAACGUGUGCUAAUACCGUAUACGUCCUUCGGGAGAAAGAUUUAUCGGAGAUGGAUGAGCCCGCGUUGGAUUAGCUAGUUGGUGGGGUAAAGGCCUACCAAGGCGACGAUCCAUAGCUGGUCUGAGAGGAUGAUCAGCCACACUGGGACUGAGACACGGCCCAGACUCCUACGGGAGGCAGCAGUGGGGAAUAUUGGACAAUGGGCGCAAGCCUGAUCCAGCCACGCCGCGUGAGUGAUGAAGGCCCUAGGGUUGUAAAGCCCUUUCACCGGUGAAGAUAAUGACGGUAACCGGAGAAGAAGCCCCGGCUAACUUCGUGCCAGCCGCCGCGGUAAGAC
rnacentral:rRNA from 1 species